UACGUAGGGUGCGAGCGUUGUCCGGAAUUAUUGGGCGUAAAGGGCUCGUAGGCGGUGUGUCGCGUCGGCCGUGAAAACCUGCAGCUUAACUGUGGGCUUGCGGUCGAUACGGGCAUCACUGGAGUUCGGCAGGGGAGACUGGAAUUCCUGGUGUAGCGGUGAAAUGCGCAGAUAUCAGGAGGAACACCGGUGGCGAAGGCGGCUCUCUGGGACGGUACUGACGCUGAGACGCGAAAGCGUGGGGAGCGAACAGG
rnacentral:rRNA from 1 species